UACAGAGGGUGCGAGCGUUAAUCGGAAUUACUGGGCGUAAAGGGCGCGUAGGUGGUGAGAUGUGUGUGAUGUGAAAGCCCCGGGCUUAACCUGGGAAGGGCAUCGCAAACUAUCUGACUGGAGUACAGGAGAGGGUGGCGGAAUUUCCAGUGUAGCGGUGAAAUGCGUAGAGAUUGGAAGGAACGUCAGUGGCGAAGGCGGCCACCUGGACUGAUACUGACACUGAGGCGCGAAAGCGUGGGGAGCGAACAGG
rnacentral:rRNA from 1 species